AACGAACGCUGGCGGCGUGCCUAACACAUGCAAGUCGCGCGAGAAAGUAGGGGGCGAACUCCAUGAGUAAAGACGGCGCACGGGUGAGUAAUACGUAGGUAACCUGCCCUCGAGACCGGGAUAACCUUCCGAAAGGAGGGCUAAUACCGGAUAAGACCACGAAGUUUCGGCUUCGGGGUCAAAGGUGGCCUCUGCAUGCAAGCUAUCACUCGAAGAUGGGCCUGCGCACCAUUAGCAGUUGGCGAGGUAACGGCUCACCAAGGCGAAGAUGGUUAGCUGGUCUGAGAGGAUGACCAGCCACACU
rnacentral:rRNA from 1 species